UUCUUCUUCUUCUUCAACAAUGGCGAGGUUUAUCGAGCUCUGCUUCCGGCUUUUCUCCUAGUCCAAUUCUCCAUUGUAUUUUCUUCGUCUCCUCCACAACUCUUGCCGACUCCAUUGCUGCAAACCGUCGCCAAUUCACCUUCGCCCAAAACUCCAUUGCCGAUUUCCCUUCCUCCAUCUCUGUCGGAUGCUCCAGUUAACGCACCACAUCCUUCUUCACCUCCGCCACCACCGCAAUCAUCUCCGUUGGCAGACGACAAGCCUCCAGUUCCUUCUCCAGCGCCGUAAAUCUGAGCGACGUCAACCACAACAACCUCGGACAGAGAUGAAGCUAAGAACUCCUCUGGAGGAAUGAGCCAUUCAAAGAAAGCAGAGAUUGUACUUGAGAUGAUCGUUGGAUAACAUUCGUCGAUCUCAGUACGGAUACGCCGCCAUGAGAGAAUUGCUCUGAAGAACUACUCAUAGUCUUGUAUGCGCAAAAGCUCUUGAAGCAACCUGAUUGCAUCAAUGGGUCUGCAAGUCUCUGGAGUUUAGUAUUGGCAUUGCUAGAUGCAUAUUCCUUGGUGAAAAAGAAGGUCCUUCACAACCUUAUAUUGGUUAGCCUCUUUGUAGUUGGAGACUAGCAGCUUCUGCCUCAUUUGGCAUAAUUGUGUUGUACUUUAGUGACUUGAGCCACUACAAUUU